UACAACCAUAUCACGUUGAAACACCAGUUCUCUUACAAUCACUGAUGCUAAGCAAUGUCCAACCAGGUCAGUACCUAGAUGGGUGAUCACUUGGGAAUACCAGGUGCUGUAAG